ensembl:lncRNA novel transcript
UCGGCUCGCGCACGGUGCGCACACACACUGGCCUGCGCCCACUGUCUGGCACUCCCUAGUGAGAUGAACCCGGUACCUCAGAUGGAAAUGCAGAAAUCACCCGUCUUCUGCGUCGCUCACGCUGGGAGCUGUAGACCGGAGCUGUUCCUAUUCGGCCAUCUUGGCUCCCUCCUCUGCUACUCGGACUUACAGAGACCAAAGCUCCUGAAGUACCAUCAUUCUACCAUGGAUACUGUGAAGUGGUACCACCGUAAAUCCAUGUCCUCUAAUGUCAGCGGACUAUCAGACCCAGUCAGAGAUGGGUGGAGGUGAUCCGUACAUUCCCUACAAAUUUUGGUGCCCAACGUGGGGCAUCCUUCACUGGCUGGAACACUGCUUGCUCGAAACUGCUGCACCUGAAAUCCUGGCCCUCUGACAAAAGGCCAGCAAAGGUAAGAAUUCUUAAUACUGUCAGUCUGCUGGAUCUCUGCCUGUGGAGAAUGGUCAAGGUGAGAGUGGUAAGACUCUUUUCUUCCUCUUUCCCUCUCUAAAUUUAGACUGGCAGGAGAAAAUAUUUAUGUGAACU